AGAGUUUGAUCCUGGCUCAGAACGAACGCUGGCGGCAGGCCUAACACAUGCAAGUCGAGCGCCCGCAAGGGAGCGGCAGACGGGUGAGUAACGCGUGGGAACGUGCCCUUUGGUUCGGAAUAUUCCCGGGAAACUGGGAGCAAAACCGGAUAAGCCCUUCGGGGGAAAGUUUACGCCAAAGGAUCGGCCCGCGUUAGAUUAGGUAGUUGGUGGGGUAACGGCCUACCAAGCCUACGAUCUAUAGCUGAUCUGAGAGGAUGAUCAGCCACACUGGGACUGAGACACGGCCCAGACUCCUACGGGAGGCAGCAGUGGGGAAUCUUGGGCAAUGGGCGCAAGCCUGAUCCAGCCAUGCCGCGUGGAUGACUGAAGGCCCUAGGGUUGUAAAGUCCUUUCGACGGGGACGAUAAUGACGGUACCCGUAGAAGAAGCCCCGGCUAACUUCGUGCCAGCAGCCGCGGUAAUACGAAGGGGGCUAGCGUUGUUCGGAUUUACUGGGCGUAAAGGGCGCGUAGGCGGAUUUUUAAGUCGGGGGUGAAAUCCCGGAGCUCAACUCCGGAACUGCCUUCGAUACUGGAAGUCUGGAGCACGGUAGAGGUGAGUGGAAUUCCGAGUGUAGCGGUGAAAUGCGUAGA
rnacentral:rRNA from 1 species